rnacentral:rRNA from 1 species
CGUUAAGUCAGAUGUGAAAGCCCGGGGCGUUAACCUCGGAAUUGCAUUUGAAACUGGCAGGCUAGAGUCUUGUAGAGGGGGGUAGGAAGUUUCAGGUGUAGCGGUGAAAUGCGUAGAGAUCUGAAGGAAUACCAGUGGCGAAGGCGGCCCCCUCGGACAAAGACUGACGCUCAGAUGCGAAAGCGUGGGGAGCAAACAGGAUUAGAUACCCUGGUAG